rnacentral:rRNA from 1 species
UACGGAGGGUGCGAGCGUUGUCCGGAAUCAUUGGGCGUAAAGGGCUCGUAGGCGGUCUGUUGCGUCAGGAGUGAAAACUCGGGGCUUAACCCCGAGCCUGCUUCUGAUACGGGCAGACUAGAGGUAUGCAGGGGAGAACGGAAUUCCUGGUGUAGCGGUGAGAUGCGCAGAUAUCAGGAGGAACACCGGUGGCGAAGGCGGUUCUCUGGGCAUUACCUGACGCUGAGGAGCGAAAGUGUGGGGAGCGAACAGG